CACACACACAUCCCUGCAUAUCUGCUGGGUCUCAAUGCGUUCAGCCUCACACGUGUCCCUUUAAUUAUCUCCAAAAUGACGCCGUUUGAGUCUGUUUUUGUCUUUAUCUCUGUGUGCGAGGCAGUAGGGAAGUGAGCAUGAAGACUUGUUGCCAUGGCAACAACAUACCUACCGAAAGACCAGCACAGCAGGGAGCACGUCUGUCACAGCAGAACACCAUGUCUCAAUCCAGAGGGCUGGUGGUUCCUACUGAAGGUUCCAACUGAAGGUUCCUAUUGAAGGUUCCUACUAAAUGUUCCUACAGAAGGUUCCUACUGAAGGUUCCUACUCAUAGUUCCUACUGAAGGUUCCUACUGAGGGUUCCUAUUGAAGGUUCCUACUAAAUGUUUCUACAGAAGGUUCCUACUGAAAAAGGUUCCUACUGAGGAUUCAAACUGUAUGUUCCUAUUGAUGGUUCCUACUGAGGUUCCUACUGGAGGUCCCUACUGAGUGUUCCUACUGAUGGUUCCUCCUGAAGGUCCCUACUGAGGGUUCCUACUGAUGGUUCCUACUGAAGGUUCCUACUGAGGAUUCCUACUGAGGGUUCCUA